rnacentral:rRNA from 1 species
UACGAGGGGGGCAAAUGUUGUUCGGAAUCACUGGGCGUAAAGGGAGCGUAGGCGGGCUUCUAAGUUAGAUGUUUAAUCCCGGGGCCCAACCCCGGACAGGCACCUAAAACUGGAAGUCUUGAAUAGUGGAGAGGACGGCGGAAUUGGGGGUGUAGCGGUGGAAUGCGUAGAGAUCCCCAAGAACACCAGUUGCGAAGGCGGCCGUCUGGACACAUAUUGACGCUGAGGCGCGAAAGCGUGGGGAGCAAACAGG